AUGCUCGCUUCGGCAGCACAUAUACUAAAAUUGGAACGAUACAGAGAAGAUUAGCGUGAGGUGUGACUGUCUCCAUUGUUAUUAAUUUUU